AAUAUUCUACUCUCCAUUAUUGCCACCAUCUCCUUGGCCAUUUGGUUGCCAAUUUUUCCACUAUCCACUUUUGAACCUCAUUGUUGUCAUCUCUACUCUCUUCUUUUUCUUCCUCUAUCGUCGCCGUGGUGAGCAACCACCAUUCUUGUCACUGUCGUCCAUUGUUCCUUCUUCUUUUCCUUUCCCUUGUCACAUUUUAUUGUUGUUGAAAUCUCGUUAUAAGCCCUAGGUCAAAUCUCUUUUUAGCACUCGUUGGUGAGUACUCAUCUUUUCUAUGUUAACUACAGAUCCAUAACGGAAAGUGUAAGUAACUUUUUAUGUAAUUAGAUCUAAGAUAUUUUCUUAUUUUUCUCAUUUUGAGAUAGUUAGGUCUCACCUAUUUAAUUCUAUUUAUAUUUGAUUGGUUCUAAAUCUAGAUCCAAACCCCUUAGAUCAACAAUAACUUUGAUGAGUAUUCGCAACUCCGUUAGAAGCCAAAUAGG
rnacentral:lncRNA from 1 species